AGGAUCAUUAGCGAAGUUCGGAAUGCAUGUUCGAUGUUGAUGCUGCCCAGCAAUGGGAUGUGCUCGCUCGGAUGUGUGUCCCUUCUCUAUCCACCCCAUUGUGAACCAAGUGUGUGAGCCGAAGAGAAAUCGGACGCUCGCAUGCAAACCUUUAACAUACCCCAAUGAAGUAUCAGAAUGUACCUUGCGUUAACUCGCACAAAUAUAACUUUCAACAACGGAUCUCUUGGCUCUCGCAUCGAUGAAGAACGCAGCGAAAUGCGAUAAGUAAUGUGAAUUGCAGAAUUCAGUGAAUCAUCGAAUCUUUGAACGCACCUUGCGCUCCUUGGUAUUCCGAGGAGCAUGCCUGUUUGAGUGUCAUGAAAUUCUCAACUCAUAAAUCCUUGUGAUCUAUGGGCUUGGAUUUGGAGGCUUGCUGGUCGUAACGGUCGGCUCCUCUUGAAUGCAUUAGCUUGAUUCCGUGCGGAUCGGCUCUCAGUGUGAUAAUUGUCUACGCUGUGACCGUGAAGCGUUUUGGCGAGCUUCUAACCGUCCAUUAGGACAACUUUAUAACAUCUGACCUCAAAUCAGGUAGGACUACCCGCUGAACUUAAGCAUAUCAAUAAG
rnacentral:rRNA from 1 species